GACGAACGCUGGCGGCGUGCUUAACACAUGCAAGUUGAACGAGAAUUUUUCGAGUGAUUUCUUCGGAAUGAUCAUGAAAAAGGAAAGUAGCGAACGGGUGAGUAACACGUGAGAAACCUGCCUUUCACAAAGGGAUAGCCUCGGGAAACCGGGAUUAAUACCUUAUGAAACCAAACACUCGCAUGAGAGAUUGGUUAAAGAUUUAUCGGUGUUAGAUGGUCUCGCGUCUGAUUAGCUAGUUGGUGGGAUAAAAGCCUACCAAGGCAACGAUCAGUAGCCGGAUUGAGAGGGUGAACGGCCACACUGGAACUGAGACACGGUCCAGACUCCUACGGGAGGCAGCAGUGGGGAAUUUUGCACAAUGGAGGAAACUCUGAUGCAGCGACGCCGCGUGAGUGAUGAAGGUCUUCGGAUUGUAAAACUCUGUCCUUAGUGAAGAUAAUGACAGUAACUAAGAAGCAAGCCCUGGCUAAAUACGUG
rnacentral:rRNA from 1 species